rnacentral:tRNA from 1 species
AGGCAUUUGGUCUAGUGGUAUGAUUCUCGCUUCGGGUGCGAGAAGUUUUGAGUUUAAUUCUCGGAAUGCCCC